GGGCCAGGCUGGGCAGGGGUGCAGCUCCCAGCAGGGAUGCGGUCCCCACGGGGCCCCCUAGCCCUGCAGGGCCUGACAAGAGGGAAGGGGGAGCCCCUGUCCUUCCCCUCUCCUUCUUGACACAGUUUCCUCUUUUGCUUCCCUGUUCUCCUUCCAGACCUGCAGGCCUGGUAGUGUGGCCAGAGACAGGUCAGAGCGCUUCCUGGGCCAGCAAACCGGAGCCUGGGGGCCGGUCGAGCCUAGCGGGCUUGGGGGCAGGGCAGAGGCCUGGCCGGGCAACUUCCUGGGGUGCUGGGGGAGGAGCAACCAGAACACCUCAUCCUCCCCCCCAUACCCUGUGCCAGCCUCCUUUCUGACCUUGCCUGAAAUUCCCUCCCUUACUCACCAUCGGGUGCUAUCGUCAAGCCUGAGAAGUGGUUUGAGAAGCUAAUCUUGUCUUGGAAGGCUCUGGAGCUGGUCUGAGUGGACACAGGGAGAAGACACCAUCUGCAAGCCAAGGACGGAGGCCUCAGAAGGAACCAGCCCUCCAAACUCAGUCUUGGACUUCGGCUUCCAGGACCGUGAGAAAAUAAAUUUCUCGGCCGUGGAAGUACCCUCCCCCGCCCCCAGUCUGGGGUGCCUGCCAUGGCGGCCCUGGCAGUCGAACAGGCCCUCAGUCCCUCCCCCCAGAAAUGCCCUGCCUGGUACCCUCAGUCUAUUCAUCUUCUUCCCAUCUUUUCUCCUGGGUCACCAACCCCAGCUUUCACAUGGCUCUGAUUUGCAAGUGCCACCUCUGGUCCCAAGGUCUUCUUAUCUGCAGCUGUGCUGGAAGAUUCCGGAGAGUUAAACAGCACUGAGGACAGGCAGGAGGGCCCAGAAAGGCCCCCAUAGAAGGUGUGAUGAUCGCAAGCCCCCUCAUAGUUCGCUCAGCCUAAGCUGGUGGCAACGAGAGCCCAUCAGUACAGACUUGUUGGAGGCCUACCACGUCCCCUGCACCUGCUAAGCAACCCACGUGCCUGCCAGCAUAAUUCACUGAAAUAUUAACUUGGGGGUCCUCCUGCCACCUGCCUGCACCCGCUUUCCAGCACAGCACCAGGCUUGUAUGUCCUAGCCUUGGACAUUAAUGGAGCCUAGACUUUAGCAGGUGGCAAAUGGGCUAUGAUUCCCUAGGAAUAAUAUUAAAACUGGUGCACAACCUCCACACCCCAGCUUUUCAUCCCUUCUUUGGCAGAGUGGAGGGGGAAACCUCCAGGAAGCUGUGAUGAGGGGCAGUGGCCAACCCCUCCGCCCCCAGGCCCCCUCCCCCGGCUGCCAUGGGCACCAUGCUCACAGUGUCCGGGAGACCCCAGGGCAAGCAGUGAAAAUGGAGGCUGCAGGAUGCUGGUGCAUAGGCACCCCACGUGUGUGAAUGAGACAGGAGGGUACAUGGUUAGAGAAGCAAAAAGUCUACCCACCACUGGCCAGCCCACACCACGCAGUCCCUCCAGAUCCACAGCCCUAGGCUCUGCCCCUCUCAAUUCUGGACUCUCCUGCCAGUCCUGGGGCCAUUGUUGCUGGUGGGAAUGAUCUUGGGCCAGGCUCUGGGCUACAGCACUGACCUUACCAGGGGUCUAAUGCAUCACUCACCCUCACUGUACUGAGCUCUGCUGAGAGCAGUGUGCCAGGCACCUACCCAGGUCUAUUUUCCCCUUCCUUCUACUAGCAGGACCCUGAUUUGGGGAGAGGGGUAGCAACGUACCCAGCUAAAAUACUUCCUAGGAUCCUUUGUGGUGGCUAUGUCGAUCCAGUUCUGCCCAAUGGGAUGAGAGGAGAAGUCAGCUAGUAGAUAUUGAAAAAGGAACUGACUCAGCAGACAUGUUCGUCAGUUCUUUACCUCUGAUUGCUGACUUCACCCUUUCCCCUUUCUACCUUCUUGGAAGACAGUUUGGAUGCCUGGAGGUGCAGCAGCCACUUUUCAACCAUGAGGACAAAAGCCAGGUGCUGAGUGUGGUGGAGGAGAAAUAAAGAAGGAAUCUGGCUAACACCCCUAAGUAGUAGCACCGGCCCUUGACUGCCAACUCUGAAUUUAUUUUUUGCAAGAGAUGAAAAAAGAUCUCUUCUUUGUUUAAGCCCCUGUUACUUUAGUUUUCAGGUACUUGCAGGUAAACAGAGUCUUAACUGACACACAGCCCUUCCUACACAAAAUCUGGUAGCUCCUUCUGAAAUCUCAGCACCUACCCCAGCCAACCCUAGAGCAGCCCCACCCAAGGAUGGCCGUGCCUCUCCUCUGAUCCUACCACCCUGAGGUGGUGGCCCAGAGGAGUGCAGGGGUGUAGGGCCACAGGUUCAGAGAGGUUAAGUGACUUCUCCUGCAUCACAUGGCUAGUAAGAGAAGAGUCAAGAUAAGAUCUUCUAUCUCAGAAGCACUGUUUCUUCUCAGAUACUAAGAAUGGAUCACCUUCUAGCACAGCAUUUAACUUAUUUGUAUUAUGUUGGCUGUACAUGUCUGUCACCUCUCUCCCCACCUCAGUUUUAAGCCCCACACAAAUAAGGGUCUUGGUUUGCUUUGCUUAUAAAUACGUUCUAAGAGCCUAGAAUAAUGCUGGCCUAAAGAAGGUACUUGUUGAACUGAAUUAAAUAGCCAUGUUUCCUGAGUACCACCUAUUAGGGGCUCGUGUCCUCCCCAAAAUUCAUAUGCUGAAGUCCUAACGCCCAGUACCUGAGAAUGUGGUUCUAUGUGGAGACAGGUCUUUGAAGAGGUAAUGAAGUUAAAAUGAGGUCAUUAGGGUGAGCCCUAAUCCAACAUGACUGCUAUCCUUAUAAUAAGAGGAGAUUAGGACACAGACACACAGAGAAGGAAGACACUGUGAAGACAACAGAGAGAAGAAGGCCACGUACAAACCACGCAGAGAGGCUUCAGAAGAAACCAAACCUGCUGACACCCUGGCUGCAGAUUUCUAGCUUCCAGAAUCAUGAGAAAAUAAACUUCUGUAGUUUAAGCCACCCAGUCUGCGGUCCUUUGUUAUGUAGCCCUAGUGAGCGAAUAGAGCAGCCAUGCUUAGCUCUGUGUGAACGGCUUUGUACACGUUGUCUCAUUUGAUCUUAACCACAAUCCUAAGAGAUAAGUACUUACGUCUCAGGUGCGGAAACUGAGGCCCAGGAAGUGAUGAUGGGGGCAGGCACUAGGGAAAGGCUACAUCCUGAGGUGUUAGG